UAUUCCUUUAAAACAGUCCUGUGAGGCUGUCAAGGAGACCGUCAAGACAGAAAUGCAUGCUUUUUCUUGUAUGCUAUUAUUUUGUAGGAUCUCCUUGUUUGAGGAGAUUUUUUUGUU
rfam:Streptococcus pseudoporcinus LQ 940-04 Contig1216510748, whole genome shotgun sequence.